rnacentral:rRNA from 1 species
GACGAACGCUGGCGGCGUGCUUAACACAUGCAAGUCGUACGGUAAGGCCCUUUCGGGGGUACACGAGUGGCGAACGGGUGAGUAACACGUGAGUAACCUGCCCACAACUUUGGGAUAACGCUAGGAAACUGGUGCUAAUACUGGAUAUGUGCCCCUGCUGCAUGGUGGGGGUUGGAAAGCUCCGGCGGUUGUGGAUGGACUCGCGGCCUAUCAGCUUGUUGGUGGGGUAGUGGCCUACCAAGGCGGCGACGGGUAGCCGGCCUGAGAGGGUGACCGGCCACAUUGGGACUGAGAUACGGCCCAGACUCCUACGGGAGGCAGCAGUGGGGAUUAUUGCACAAUGGGCGCAAGCCUGAUGCAGCAACGCCGCGUGCGGGAUGACGGCCUUCGGGUUGUAAACCGCUUUCAGCAGGGACGAAGCUUUUUGUGACGGUACCUGCAGAAGAAGCACCGGCUAACUACGUG